GAGUUUGAUCCUGGCUCAGAUUGAACGCUGGCGGCAGGCUUAACACAUGCAAGUCGAACGGUAGCAGGAGAAAGCUUGCUUUCUUGCUGACGAGUGGCGGACGGGUGAGUAAUGCUUGGGAAUCUGGCUUAUGGAGGGGGAUAACUACGGGAAACUGUAGCUAAUACCGCGUAAUGUCUAAGGACUAAAGGGUGGGACCGUAAGGUCACCUGCCAUAAGAUGAGCCCAAGUGGGAUUAGGUAGUUGGUGGGGUAAAGGCCUACCAAGCCGACGAUCUCUAGCUGGUCUGAGAGGAUGACCAGCCACACUGGAACUGAGACACGGUCCAGACUCCUACGGGAGGCAGCAGUGGGGAAUAUUGCACAAUGGGGGGAACCCUGAUGCAGCCAUGCCGCGUGAAUGAAGAAGGCCUUCGGGUUGUAAAGUUCUUUCGGUGAUGAGGAAGGUGUUUGUUUUAAUAGAACAAGCAAUUGACGUUAGUCACAGAAGAAGCACCGGCUAACUCCGUGCCAGCAGCCGCGGUAAUACGGAGGGUGCGAGCGUUAAUCGGAAUGACUGGGCGUAAAGGGCACGCAGGCGGUGACUUAAGUGAGAUGUGAAAGCCCCGAGCUUAACUUGGGAAUUGCAUUUCAUACUGGGUCGCUAGAGUAUUUUAGGGAGGGGUAGAAUUCCACGUGUAGCGGUGAAAUGCGUAGA
rnacentral:rRNA from 1 species